rnacentral:tRNA from 1 species
GCAAUGGAUAACGCGUCUGCCUACGGAGCAGAAGAUUGCAGGUUCGAAUCCUGCCGUGGUCG